GGAAAUUCUUUUAUAAUGCUAGCUCGUAGAGCAACAUCUAGCUGCUUCUAGUAAUGCACCACAACAUCUAGUAGUAGCAGCUCGUUAAAAAAAGCAGUAGGGACAGCACCGAUUCCCAGAAUUCAUCGUCUCACCGCCGAGUAGAUGCCCCUUCUCUUGUCCACACAUUGCUAUUCCUCCACAAGCCCACAUCACUUAGGCUCUGUUCGGUUUGCAGGAUCAGAAAACAUGGGAACAAAAAAAUGUAAAGGAAUAGGGAAAACAAGCACAUAUGAAACUGAGGAAUUUUAAACAGAGAAAUAGUCAGGAGUGAACCGUUCGGCGGUGAUCAAAAGAAGCUGCACAUCACCUCAGUUGUGACCCGUACCUUGGGUGUUUUUUAUUUGGCUGCAGACUUGACUCUCUCACACUCCAUGCCAUAUAAUGAAUAUUUUAUUGAAUUAGAUGUCAGAACCAGUGUGUUGCCUCGGCCAACCGCGAUAAACAAGAGGUCUGACUGGAUGUUUCUUUUCCCGUGAAAUCUGUAGGAAUCACACAGGAAUCGAGACAUUCCAAAGUUUUACUGCUCAUUUUUCCUUCACUCCGAACGCACCAAAGGUAGAAAAUAGCACAGGAUCAGAUUCCUUUGAGUUUUCCUCCGGACCGAACGCAGCCUUAGUGCUACUUCGCCUCCAUCUUCCUUCUUCUGCUACCUCAACACCCAGCUCUGCUCCUACUCUUCCUCAGCUCCCUCCUACUAACGCCUGGUCGUGCUCCACUCCCAGCUAUGACGGCCACAUGAGCUCCACCCGCACCAACACGAGACGACGAAGCUGACGUCCCGUGCUCCGUAUACCUUCGUCUGCUCAUGAUUCGACCUCCUAUUACUCCACAACGACACCAACCCAUACUCCCUUCCCCUCCACAGCCAAGCAACCGCUGCAUCAGGCACGGGUACGCAUGCCGACUGCCUGAUCUGGUAUGGAUGCGCGCGGUAGCUCCUCCCACCCCUGAUCUUUCCUUGGCAAGCUCACAUCUCCACCUGGUCCGCAACAGGAGACGCCGCGCUGGGUGUUGUAGCUACGGAGGUCAUCGAUUGGGCGAAGGACGCCCAGUGGCAGUGGGAAGUGACCCGAGGCGAGGUGGAGUCAGCAAGGCGGCAGAGGUUGGGCCAAAAAUCUCUUUUCUAUGUUCUCCGCGUACACAAAACUGAUUAUCUCCUUCUCGUAUCCUGCAGUGGCGAGAUUCGGGAUUGAUGGAUCCGACUCCCGACGCUGCGAGCCCGUGUUGCCCAGAUCUUGACGACGGCGAGCCGAGGUUGCCUACGGGCGGCGGGCGGCGCUCCCGUGGCGAGGAUGGCGGGGCCUGGUCGGAUCCGGGCGGAUCUGGCCGGGAUGGAUCUAUUUCUGGCGGAUUUGGCUUGGAGGCAGCCGGAUCUGGCGAGAUUGAGGGCCGAUGGCGCCAUGGUCCUCCUGGAGAUCCCUGCUCACCGAGAAAGAGAGACAGAGGUGAGAGGAGAUCAAGAUGAAGGAGGAGAUGGGCGAGGCGGCGGAGCGGCCAGAGCUCCGGCGGCGAGGCACGGUGGAGGUGUGGGGUCGCCGGCGAGGUGGCUUGCGGGUGCGAGGGGAGCUGGGCGAGGCGGCGGAGCAGCCGGAGCUCCGGCGGCGGGGCACGGUGGAGGUGUGGGGUCGCCGGCGAGGUGGCUUGCGGGUGCGAGGGGAGCUCUGGUAGGAGGAAGCUGCGGGAGGCGGAGCGGUCCAGUUCGGGCUGGAUUUCUAGGGUUAUUUAUGUAAAAGUGAAAGUUUUCUUAGAAUCCACUAAAGAAAAGACUACGGGUUCAAUUUUGAAAAAGUACAAGGACUUUUCUGCAAAAUCACCGACGACGUACGACCAGAAACGAUCGGUGCUUUAUUAGUAGGUAGAGA
rnacentral:lncRNA from 1 species